AUGGCUAAGAAGGCCAAGCUGGACGAGACCCUGGCUGCAGCCCGCCAGUUCAGAGCACUGCUUCGGCAGCAACUCCAGAAAGCCUUCGCGUCACAGUCUUGUUUAGAGGAGGCCCCGGUGGCGUCGAGCUGCUGUUGCUGUGGGCAUAGCGACGUCGGCGUGGUCAGGAUGGUCGCAGCCUUUCAAGAUUCUCAACGGUGGUGUCUCGGCGCUGAUGGCGGAGUCGACGAUGAGCAUCGGCGGGCUACUCGUAGGACCCUUGUAGGAGACCAUCCUCAAGAUCGACGAGAAGAUGAGGUCUGGACCCUUGUAGGAGACCAUCCUCAAGCAGCUCUAGAUGAGUUGGAUAAUGUGCUCUUUUUUGUUUGCAAAAUGAAGGACGCUGCAUCCAGGAAUUAUGUGCUCAUAGAUUUUAUUGUUCUUGAUAUUGAUUGGAAUCCGUCUUGUCCAAUAAUUCUUGUUAGACCGUUUUUAUGCACUAUUGGUGCGGUGAUUGAUAUGAAAGAAGGCAAUAUUAAGUUCCAAUUUCCUUUGACGAAGGGUAUGGAACACUUCACUAGAACAAGAAUUAGCCCACCAUAUGAAUCAAUCAUGAGGGCAUCCUAUGGAUCUCGAAACAAAGAUGACAAAACUUAG
rnacentral:rRNA from 1 species